CUGGAUUUGCAUUCUGGCGGCACAUUUUAGUUGACGCCUAAUCUUAAAUUUAGGAAUGACGUUUCUAAAUUACUCAAUUUAGGUUUAGGCGACAAAAAGCUAUUCUAGCAAACAUUUCAUUUGACGUUAAACUCUUAUUCUAAAUUAAUUUUAUACGGUUUUCUAAACUUGCCGGAUAAAAUUAAACUUCUUAAAAUUAAGUACAUGAAUCAGUUUUUCGGCGCUUUUUGUGAAUUCCGGCCACUGAUUUCACCUGCAGAUCAUUAGGAAGACCUUGCCGCUCUCAAAAUAGCUUAAAUAGCGAUAAAGAACCUUCUAAAUAUACGAAUAGAAGGAUCAACGAGAAAUAUUUGUUUUACGUCGUUUACCGCCCAAGACCAGUAAAAGAAAGAAGACUGCGAGGAGGCCCCAUCGAAACAAAAGACUCUUAGCUGGUAUGAUGAUGUCUCUGGCAUGAGUAUCAUCUUCAAAGUUAAUCCAAACAUUUAUCUAAGAGGACAAUCUAAUUGUGUCAAUCUUAAACACUACUUUCAACUGGACCGUGUGGUGGAUGCUUGAAACAAUGCAGUGCCAGUGAUAUUAACGAUUAACGUGUAACAUCAACACAUACCUAGCUCUGUGUGUGUCAAAACUGUAAUGACUCCUACCAGGCGCGCAGUGCAGGCUGCACUGCCUGCUUCUUCUUAUCCUUUUGACCUGAAGGACUUAAAAUUACUACAAAAGUAAUUAAUGUACCUAUCUAUGGAAUGGAACUACAGAAGUACACUGAAGGAAGGCCUCCAAAGCAAGGUGAUAAAUCUUUGACUUUGACAUUUGCAAGUAGUCCUAAUAGCCACUGCAUCCUGAAUUGUAAUUAUGAGCCACCAAUAACAAAAAAGACUCUAGGCACUUGCAACAGUGUCGAAA